rnacentral:lncRNA from 1 species
AUACAUCAAUUUUGUAUGCCCUCGUGAUAAAUUUCCCCCUGAAGUUUCUAGAGCGCACUGAUUUUAGGACCUUCUAUACAAAGAGAAAUCUGAUGCUCUAGAAUUUGUGUAUGAAGAUUUCUUUAAUAACAAUCGCGAAUAUAAUUAUAUUCUUCAAUUAAGUAAUGAUAAUGUAAUAUUGCAUCCUAUCAUUUACAAUCAGAUAGACAGGUGACCUUAAGUAUAAGGUUUCAAGCUAUUUAACGCUCAAUACUUGUUAUAUAAUUCUCCGUGGUAACAUCAACUGAGUUGGGCAUCAUAAUUGGCACUGAACAUCCAAAGUUAAGUUAGUGCUCACCAUUUCACGAUUAUAUUUUUGGUACUGAUAUUUUCAUAUUUCCAGUUCGUUGAAGAUAGAGGUCUGGCAUUGUAUUGAAGCUCAACUCCGCACGAAAGUGUACAACUUCACAGUUAUGUUCUGGCACUUGAAUUUGCUAUGCUUUUCAUGCAAGGAAUUUCAUGCUAGGAAUACUUACACGUUCAUUCUUAAAUCAUCUUGUUAUAUGGCAUUGUAGAUCUGAUGGAAAAGAACUUUGGUGAUAUAGGCCAGGGCGGAGGACGUUGUCAAUGGAAAACAUGGCUCCACAUGAAGGUUCACUUGCCAAUAGUCUUCAAGAAGAUGCGAAGGUCAUGGUUUUGUGUUGAUGACCCUUGAAAAAAUACCUUCUCAUUUUCUUGUUUGAAGGAACGCUAGGAGGAAUUGAGGAUGCGAAAAAUGUACGGAGGAAAGGGAGACUAGGAGAGGUGCACGGUGAGGCAUUGACGAAUCCUAAAAAGAGAAACUUUUGUCACGGUGUUCUCAUAUCCAAACUUGAAUCAAGUAUGCUUUUUGAAUGGCUUGCACUAAAGCAGAUUAUAAUUCUUAUACUUGUGUUUUGAAUUGACUACAUGUUGUCGUCUCCUCUUGUAUACAUCUUCUGUAUCUACGAUUUUGUGAUGGGUUGUUAAGCUACCAUUCAAGGGAAUGCAUGUUGACAAAUGUAUUGAUGCUUCCUUGAGUCUACUAAUAAUAUAUUUGUAAUGUAUUUUUCACUGAAAAAAGCACCACUAAUAGCACGCUGUAGAAUUUUCUAGCUAAAUAAAUCAAUGUACACUGCCUCGCUAAUAGAAUGCCAUAGUGCGAUAUAGCAU